UGAUGAAUGAUGACGAUGUAU
rnacentral:miRNA from 1 species